rnacentral:rRNA from 1 species
CCUACGUGUGGCAGCAGUGAGGAAUAUUGGUCAAUGGGCGGGAGCCUGAACCAGCCAAGUAGCGUGAAGGAUGACGGCCCUUCGUGUUUUAAACUUCUUUUAUAAGGGAAUAAAGUGCGGCACGUGUGCCCUUUUGUAUGUACCUUAUGAAUAAGCAUCGGCUAACUCCGUGCCAGCAGCCGCGGUAAUCCGGAGGAUACGAGCGUUAUCCGGAUUUAUUGGGUUUAAAGGGUGCGUAGGUGGUUUGUUAAGUCAGGAGUGAAAGUUUGCGGCUCAACCAUAAAAUUGCCGUUGAAACUGGAAGACUUGAGUAUGGGUGAGGUAGGCGGAAUUCGUGGUGUAGCGGUGAAAUGCUUAGAUAUCACGAAGAACUCCGAUUGCGAAGGCAGCUUACUAAGCUAAAACUGACAUUGAGGCUCGAAAGUGUGGGGAUCAAACAGGAUUAGAUACCCUUGUAGUC